UACGGGGGGGGCAAGCGUUGUUCGGAUUUACUGGGCGUAAAGGGCGCGUAGGCGGCCAGCACAAGUCAGUUGUGAAAUCUCCGGGCUUAACUCGGAACGGUCAGAUGAUACUGCUUUGCUCGAGUGCGGAAGGGGCAAUCGGAAUUCUUGGUGUAGCGGUGAAAUGCGUAGAUAUCAAGAGGAACACCUGAGGUGAAGACGGGUUGCUGGGCCGACACUGACGCUGAAGCGCGAAAGCCAGGGGAGCAAACGGG
rnacentral:rRNA from 1 species